GCAUUGAGUUUAUUCUUGCGGGAAUUUAGGAGCCAUCAGUGAGAUACCACUCUGGUAAUGUUAGAUUUCUAACUUUGUAUCAUGAUCUGGUCAAAGAACAGUUUCAGGCGGGCAGUUUGACUGGGGCGGUCGCCUCCCAAAUGGUAACGGAGGCGUACAAAGGUUUCCUCUGAACGUGUAGAAAUCAUAUCUAGAGUGUAAAGGCAUAAGGAAGCUUGACUGUGAGACCUACAAGUCGAGCAGGGACGAAAGUCGGUCUUAGUGAUCUGACGGUGCUGAGUGGAAAGGCCGUCACUCAACGGAUAAAAGUUACUCUAGGGAUAACAGGCUGA
rnacentral:rRNA from 1 species